GGCCCCAGGAACAAAGGGCUCAUUGUCAUGCAAAUGAACGACUCCGGAGGAAGGGGGCGGUUCCUCCACUCUGGGGUGCCCCUCCUGCCCUCUAACUUCUAAGCCACACUGGAAACCAACCCCCCAACCUUCAGAAGUGUGGGCAUCUCUGGGCCUCUGCUCUGGGCUAAAUGAGGCAUUCUCUCAGCCUAGGAAAUGGGACCCUCCCAGUUCUGAGCCAGAUGCCCAGAAAACAGGACCGCCUCGGAAGACAGGAAUAGUCUGCAGCUGUGUGUCUUUGAGCAAGCCGCCUACCCUCUCUGUGCCUUAUCAGGAGAGGGUGACUCUGCCCACCUUACAAGGCUAUGGGAAGGACACAGUGAACUAAGGUAUGUGGAAUGCUCACCUCGCCUGGGUCCUCAGCACACAAGGCUGAGGCUGUCGGCACCCCUCCCCCACUCCCCGUGCCUACGGCACCCCUGGGUUCCUUCUCAUGGCCGUAUCUAGGAGGGGUAGGCUCUCUUGGGAUGCUUGGUGGGUACCCCAGGGGCAGUCAGAGAAAAAGCGUGAGAACUUUUCCCGGUUUUCCAAAUCGUCCCCAAAAUGCAGGGCCUCCUUCCCCAGAGAGGCCCCAUUUAUGGGGAGGGGACAGGCUGAGGCCCCGUGGGGGACACUGAGUCAGGCACAACUGUCUCCUAAGUGCCUGCUACAUACCCAGUGCUGGGGACACAGCAGUGACCAAGGUGAACAAAAUCCUGGAUGGAGGGGUGCUGGAGUGUGAAUGUCUAUGUCCCCCCAAAAUCUGUAUGUUGAGACCUAAUCAUCAUGGGACAGUGUCAGAGCACGGGGCCUCUGGGAGGUGACGAGCUGUCACGAGUGGCAUUGGUGCCCCCGGAAAGCCACCGUGCCCUCUGCCUGGGAGAAGCCACCACCUAUGAACCAGGGAACGGGCCCUCCUCCCAUGUGACACCAAAUCCGCCAGCCUCUGGGUCUCGGGCGUCCAGCCUCCAAAACUGUGAGCAGUAAAGUUCUCUUGCUUGUGA